AAUGAGAUGCCUGAUAAAAAGGACUACUUUGAUAGAGUUGAUGAUGUGAUUCCCGACCCACUCUCAUUA
rnacentral:tRNA from 1 species